rnacentral:rRNA from 1 species
UGAGCAAUCUGCCCUUCUCAUCGGAAUAAGCGUUGAAACGACGUCUAAUGCCGAAUACGACCUCCUUUCGCAUGAUCGGAGGUGGAAAGCUCCGGCGGAGAAGGAUGAGCUCGCGGCCUAUCAGCUAGUUGGUGUGGGUAAUGGCCCACCAAGGCGACGACGGGUAGCCGGCCUGAGAGGGUGACCGGCCACACUGGGACUGAGACACGGCCCAGACCUCCGUACGGGAGCAG